rnacentral:rRNA from 1 species
CCAGACUCCUACGGGAGGCAGCAGUAGGGAAUCUUCGGCAAUGGGGGGAACCCUGACCGAGCAACGCCGCGUGAGUGAAGAAGGUUUUCGGAUCGUAAAGCUCUGUUGUAAGAGAAGAACGAGUGUGAGAGUGGAAAGUUCACACUGUGACGGUAUCUUACCAGAAAGGGACGGCUAACUACGUGCCAGCAGCCGCGGUAAUACGUAGGUCCCGAGCGUUGUCCGGAUUUAUUGGGCGUAAAGCGAGCGCAGGCGGUUAGAUAAGUCUGAAGUUAAAGGCUGUGGCUUAACCAUAGUACGCUUUGGAAACUGUUUAACUUGAGUGCAAGAGGGGAGAGUGGAAUUCCAUGUGUAGCGGUGAAAUGCGUAGAUAUAUGGAGGAACACCGGUGGCGAAAGCGGCUCUCUGGCUUGUAACUGACGCUGAGGCUCGAAAGCGUGGGGAGCAAACAGGAUUAGAUACCCUGGUAGUCCACGCCGUAAACGAUGAGUGCUAGGUGUUAGACCCUUUCCGGGGUUUAGUGCCGCAGCUAACGCAUUAAGCACUCCGCCUGGGGAGUACGACCGCAAGGUUGAAACUCAAAGGAAUUGACGGGGGCCCGCACAAG